GACGAACGCUGGCGGCGUGCCUAAUACAUGCAAGUAGAACGCUGAAGAGAGGAGCUUGCUCUUCUUGGAUGAGUUGCGAACGGGUGAGUAACGCGUAGGUAACCUGCCUUGUAGCGGGGGAUAACUAUUGGAAACGAUAGCUAAUACCGCAUAACAAUGGAUGACCCAUGUCAUUUAUUUGAAAGGGGCAAAUGCUCCACUACAAGAUGGACCUGCGUUGUAUUAGCUAGUAGGUGAGGUAACGGCUCACCUAGGCGACGAUACAUAGCCGACCUGAGAGGGUGAUCGGCCACACUGGGACUGAGACACGGCCCAGACUCCUACGGGGGGCAGCAGUAGGGAAUCUUCGGCAAUGGGGGCAACCCUGACCGAGCAACGCCGCGUGAGUGAAGAAGGUUUUCGGAUCGUAAAGCUCUGUUGUAAGUCAAGAACGAGUGUGAGAGUGGAAAGUUCACACUGUGACGGUAGCUUACCAGAAAGGGACGGCUAACUACGUGCCAGCAGCCGCGGUAAUACGUAGGUCCCGAGCGUUGUCCGGAUUUAUUGGGCGUAAAGCGAGCGCAGGCGGUUUGAUAAGUCUGAAGUUAAAGGCUGUGGCUCAACCAUAGUUCGCUUUGGAAACUGUCAAACUUGAGUGCAGAAUGGGAGAGUGGAAUUCCAUGUGUAGCGGUGAAAUGCGUAGAUAUAUGGAGGAACACCGGUGGCGAAAGCGGCUCUCUGGUCUGUAACUGACGCUGAGGCUCGAAAGCGUGGGGAGCGAACAGGAUUAGAUACCCUGGUAGUCCACGCCGUAAACGAUGAGUGCUAGGUGUUGGAUCCUUUCCGGGAUUCAGUGCCGCAGCUAACGCAUUAAGCACUCCGCCUGGGGAGUACGACCGCAAGGUUGAAACUCAAGGAAUUGACGGGGGCCCGCACAAGCGGUGGAGCAUGUGGUUUAAUUCGAAGCAACGCGAAGAACCUUACCAGGUCUUGACAUCCCGAUGCUAUUUCUAGAGAUAGAAAGUUACUUCGGUACAUCGGUGACAGGUGGUGCAUGGUUGUCGUCAGCUCGUGUCGUGAGAUGUUGGGUUAAGUCCCGCAACGAGCGCAACCCCUAUUGUUAGUUGCCAUCAUUCAGUUGGGCACUCUAGCGAGACUGCCGGUAAUAAACCGGAGGAAGGUGGGGAUGACGUCAAAUCAUCAUGCCCCUUAUGACCUGGGCUACACACGUGCUACAAUGGUUGGUACAACGAGUUGCGAGUCGGUGACGGCAAGCUAAUCUCUUAAAGCCAAUCUCAGUUCGGAUUGUAGGCUGCAACUCGCCUACAUGAAGUCGGAAUCGCUAGUAAUCGCGGAUCAGCACGCCGCGGUGAAUACGUUCCCGGGCCU
rnacentral:rRNA from 1 species